rnacentral:rRNA from 1 species
UACGGGGGGGGCAAGCGUUGUUCGGAAUUACUGGGCGUAAAGGGUUCGUAGGUGGCCGACUAAGUCAGACGUGAAAUCCCUCAGCUCAACUGGGGAACUGCGUCUGAGACUGGCCGGCUUGAGUGCAGGAGAGGAACGCGGAAUUCCAGGUGUAGCGGUGAAAUGCGUAGAUAUCUGGAGGAACACCGGUGGCGAAGGCGGCGUUCUGGACUGCUACUGACGCUGAGACGCGAAAGCGUGGGGAGCAAACGGG